rnacentral:misc_RNA from 1 species
CGUUGAUUUCGCGACACCCGUCGCAGCUUUUAUUUGGUUGUCAAAGAUCAUUGCGUGUUCUUUAAUACCUAUUAUCUUAGGGGCGUAUAGCUCAGCUGGUUAGAGUACACCCCUGAUAAGGGUGAGGUCUCAGGUUCAAGUCCUGAUACGCCCACCAUACUGGGGAAUUAGCUCAGCUGGGAGAGCGCCUGCUUUGCACGCAGGAGGUCAGCGGUUCGAUCCCGCUAUUCUCCACCAGUACAAAAAGUCUGAUGUAAGUACUUCAAGCAAGUAUUUACAUUAGGCUUUCAGUCUAAAAGUUAUUUAACUUAUUAUUGUUAAGAGUCUAACGUAAUGUUGCAAACAACGACGAUGUAGCGAUACAGAAUCGAAGUUUUAAAAAUUACAAUUGAACAGAAAAAAAUUAUUGGAAUGUAUCUCCCUCAAAAGAGUGCAAGAAGAUAAUCUUUCAUGUGCGAAGAAGCAAACUCAAAAUAAAAAAACUUGUUAAACAAAAAAGAAUCAUAGCAAUAUGACUCAUUUGCAUUUAAUAAGGUAGUACCUUAGAAUUAAGAAAAUUAAUCUAAGGGCAGAUGGUGGAUGCCUAGACCAGGAGAGGCGAUGAAGGACGUACCAGGCUGCGAUAAGCCGGGGGGAGCUGCCAAGAAGCUUUG